rnacentral:rRNA from 1 species
UACGGAGGGUGCGAGCGUUGUCCGGAAUCACUGGGCGUAAAGGGCGCGUAGGCGGCCGUGUAAGUCACUUGUGAAAUCCCGGGGCUCAACUCCGGGGCUGCAGGUGAGACUGCAUGGCUAGAGCUUGGUAGAGGCGAGUGGAAUUCCCGGUGUAGCGGUGGAAUGCGUAGAUAUCGGGAAGAACAUCGGUGGCGAAGGCGGCCUGCUGGGCUCUUGCUGACACUGAGGCGCGACAGCGUGGGGAGCAAACAGG